rnacentral:rRNA from 1 species
UAAGGAAUAUUGGUCAAUGGACGCAAGUCUGAACCAGCCAUGCCGCGUGAAGGAUGAAGGUCCUCUGGAUUGUAAACUUCUUUUAUCUGGGACGAAAACGGGAUUUUUAUCUCAAUUGACGGUACCAGAGGAAUAAGCACCGGCUAACUCCGUGCCAGCAGCCGCGGUAAUACGGAGGGUGCGAGCGUUAUCCGGAUUUACUGGGUUUAAAGGGUGCGUAGGUGGGCUUAUAAGUCAGUGGUGAAAUCUCCGAGCUUAACUUGGAAACUGCCGUUGAUCCUAUAGGUCUUGAAUUAUCUGGAGGUGAGCGGAAUAUGUCAUGUAGCGGCGAAAUGCUUAGAUAUGACAUAGAACACCAAUUGCGAAGGCAGCUUACUACAUAUAAAUUGACGCUGAGGCACGAAAGCGUGGGGA